CACGGGGGGAGCAAGCGUUGUUCGGAAUCACUGGGCGUAAAGGGCGUGUAGGCGGUUAGGUAAGUGGAAUGUGAAAUCCCUCGGCUCACCCGAGGACCUGCAUCCCAAACUGCCUGACUUGAGUAUGGGAGAGGAUGAGGGAAUUCCUGGUGUAGCGGUGAAAUGCGUAGAUAUCAGGAGGAACACCUGCGGUGUAGACGGCUUACUGGACCAUAACUGACGCUGAGGCACGAAAGCGUGGGUAGCAAACAGG
rnacentral:rRNA from 1 species